rnacentral:rRNA from 1 species
GACGAACGCUGGCGGCGUGCCUAAUACAUGCAAGUAGAACGCUGAAGGAGGAGCUUGCUCUUCUGGAUGAGUUGCGAACGGGUGAGUAACGCGUAGGUAACCUGCCUGGUAGCGGGGGAUAACUAUUGGAAACGAUAGCUAAUACCGCAUAAGAGUAGAUGUUGCAUGACAUUUACUUAAAAGGUGCAAUUGCAUCACUACCAGAUGGACCUGCGUUGUAUUAGCUAGUUGGUGGGGUAACGGCUUACCAAGGCGACGAUACAUAGCCGACCUGAGAGGGGGAUCGGCCACACUGGGACUGAGACACGGCCCAGACUCCUACGGGAGGCAGCAGUAGGGAAUCUUCGGCAAUGGACGGAAGUCUGACCGAGCAACGCCGCGUGAGUGAAGAAGGUUUUCGGAUCGUAAAGCUCGGUUGUAAGAGAAGAACGAGUGUGAGAGUGGAAAGUUCACACUGUGACGGUAUCUUACCAGAAAGGGACGGCUAACUACGUG